rnacentral:rRNA from 1 species
GGUUUCCUACGGGGGGCAGCAGUGAGGAAUAUUGGUCAAUGGGCUUACGCCUGAACCAGCCAAGUCGCGUGAGGGAAGACUGCCCUAUGGGUUGUAAACCUCUUUUGUAUGGGGGGAAUAAGCUUUACGAGUAGAGUGAUGACAGUACCAUACGAAUAAGCAUCGGCUAACUCCGUGCCAGCAGCCGCGGUAAUACGGAGGAUGCGAGCGUUAUCCGGAUUUAUUGGGUUUAAAGGGUGCGUAGGCGGCAUUAUAAGCUAGUGGUAAAAUAUUGGGGCUUCACCUCACUACUCCAUUAAUACUGU